rnacentral:rRNA from 1 species
UGGUGGGUAGUUUGACUGGGGCGGUCUCCUCCCAAAGAGUAACGGAGGAGCACGAAGGUUAGCUAAUCCUGGUCGGACAUCAGGAGGUUAGUGCAAUGGCAUAAGCUAGCUUGACUGCGAGAGUGACGGCUCGAGCAGGUGCGAAAGCAGGUCAUAGUGAUCCGGUGGUUCUGAAUGGAAGGGCCAUCGCUCAACGGAUAAAAGGUACUCCGGGGAUAACAGGCUGAUACCGCCCAAGAGUUCAUAUCGACGGCGGUGUUUGGCACCUCGAUGUCGGCUCAUCACAUCCUGGGGCUGAAGUAGGUCCCAAGGGUAUGGCUGUUCGCCAUUUAAAGUGGUACGCGAGCUGGGUUUAGAACGUCGUGAGACAGUUCGGUCCCUAUCUGCCGUGGGCGCUGGAGAAUUGAGGGGGGCUGCUCCUAGUACGAGAGGACCGGAGUGGACGCAUCACUGGUGUUCGGGUUGUCAUGCCAAUGGCACUGCCCGGUAGCUAAAUGCGGAAAAGAUAAGUGCUGAAAGCAUCUAAGCACGAAACUUGCCCCGAGAUGAGUUCUCCCUGACCCUUUAAGGGUCCUGAAGGAACGUUGAAGACGACGACGUUGAUAGGUCGGGUGUGUAAGCGCAGCGAUGCGUUGAGCUAACCGAUACUAAUGAACCGUGAGGCUUAACCUU